UGGGGAAUUUUGCGCAAUGGGCGAAAGCCUGACGCAGUAACGCCGCGUGGAGGAUGAAGGCCUUCGGGUUGUAAACUCCUGUCAGAGGGAAAGAAGGGUCUGAGGAAAGAAUAUAUCCUUAGAUUCUGACGGUACCCUCAAAGGAAGCCCCGGCUAAUUCCGUGCCAGCAGCCGCGGUAAUACGGAAGGGGCUAGCGUUGUUCGGAAUCAUUGGGCGUAAAGGGCGCGUAGGUGGUCUUAUAUGUCUGUCGUUAAAGUGCACGGCUCAACCGUGUUUGGUCGGCGGAAACUGUAAGACUCGAGGCUGGGAGGGGCUGGAGGAAUUCCCUGUGUAGCGGUGAAAUGCGUAGAGAUAGGGGAGAACACUCGUGGCGAAGGCGUCCAGCUGGACCAGUCCUGACACUGAGGCGCGAAAGCGUGGGUAGCAAACAGGAUUAGAUACCCCCGUAGUCC
rnacentral:rRNA from 1 species